UCCUGCGGAAUAGCUCCGGGAAACUGGAAUUAAUACCGCAUACGCCCUACGGGGGAAAGAUUUAUCGGGGAAGGAUUGGCCCGCGUUGGAUUAGCUAGUUGGUGGGGUAAAGGCCUACCAAGGCGACGAUCCAUAGCUGGUCUGAGAGGAUGAUCAGCCACAUUGGGACUGAGACACGGCCCAAACUCCUACGGGAGGCAGCAGUGGGGAAUAUUGGACAAUGGGCGCAAGCCUGAUCCAGCCAUGCCGCGUGAGUGAUGAAGGCCUUAGGGUUGUAAAGCUCUUUCACCGAUGAAGAUAAUGACGGUAGUCGGAGAAGAAGCCCCGGCUAACUUCGUGCCAGCAGCCGCGGUAAUACGAAGGGGGCUAGCGUUGUUCGGAAUUACUGGGCGUAAAGCGCACGUAGGCGGAUAUUUAAGUCAGGGGUGAAAUCCCGCAGCUCAACUGCGGAACUGCCUUUGAUACUGGGUAUCUUGAGUAUGGAAGAGGUAAGUGGAAUUCCGAGUGUAGAGGUGAAAUUCGUAGAUAUUCGGAGGAACACCAGUGGCGAAGGCGGCUUACUGUCCAU
rnacentral:rRNA from 1 species